rnacentral:misc_RNA from 1 species
AACGCACAUUGCGCCCCUUGGUAUUCCGAGGGGCAUGCCUGUUCGAGCGUCAUUUAUACCAACUCCUCUCUAUAGAGGGUCUUGGGCUUCGCCUCUGGGCGGGUCUUAAAAUUAGUGGCGGUGCCUUGAGGCUCUACGCGUAGUAAUACACCCCGCGAUAGAACCCUUGAGGUAUCUUGCCAGCAACCCCCAACUUUCUAGGUUGACCUCGGAUCAGGUAGGGAUACCCGCUGAACUUAA